CCGCCCUCCGCGGGGUACCAUGGGACGGCAGCCACCGACGGGGGCCACCUCCUCGGGGUCACGCGAAACCCCCCCUCUAGUGGGCCGGCCCCCCGCAUAACCGGCUUCCCUAACCCUCCCCCACGCCGAGAGGGCACACGCACCUGGGGGAGACUCAGCCUUCCGGCCCCCUCAGGACGGGUGUCCCCCUGGUGUAACUCUCAGGAGGAGUCUCCCUGUCUCCCAAUCUUUGGGAAACAACUGCUGUAGUUGCCACAAGGAUGUGACUGAAAAUGGAAGGGGAGACAAAUCUACAAGAAAAUACCUGCCUAUUACAAUGUGGUCCACACUUGAAAGAAUGUGAGAACCAGUGCAGUUGGAUACAUUUUUAAGGAAGAUACUAGGGCUGGGUCUACACUAAAAAGUUAAGUCAACCCAGCUAGGUCACUCUGGUGUGAAAAAUUGACACCACAUCCUACAGAGGCUAUGUCUGUACACUUACCAUUUAGAGUGCAAAAAGUCCUUUUUUGUGCUAAAACCGAGGAAGCAUCUACAAGAAAACCACCCUCACGAGGCAUAUAGCUCUUACCGCUGUUCUUUUUGUGCUGUUGUGAAAGUGAAAAACCGUUCUACCAUCGUAAACACCUUUUGGCCUCCGAAGGAUAUUGCACAGUUCCAAAAGUGACCACUCUGGCCAGCAUCUUUACUGGUCUGACACCAGGUAAACGGACAUCCAUCCCUCCCCUUGUAAACCCUGGGAAGUUUGAAACUUCCUUUCCCUUUGCUUGUAGAUAUGGCAGGGAAAGCAGCCAGACAGCAGGGUCGGGUAAAAAAAAAAUGCCACAAAAGAAACAAGGAAGUAUUGGGGCUGCUGGAACAUGAAGCAGGGCAGCAUGGAGCACUGAGCAGGGACCCGGAAUGCCUUCUGCUCACCCUUCCCACAAGACCUAUCGAGAGAGCUGCACUGUAGGAUAGCUGCCCUACAGCGCUGCUCUCAUCUGCGAUGGAAGUGCUGCUAGUGUAAACACUCUCUGAUGCCUGAGGAAUUAAGUGAGUACACAAACCAGCACUUUUCUUUCACCAGUUCCCUAUCACCG